rnacentral:rRNA from 1 species
UACGAAGGGUGCAAGCGUUACUCGGAAUUACUGGGCGUAAAGGGCGUGCAGGCGGUUUGUUAAGUCUAGGGUGAAAGCUCCCGGCUCAACUGGGAGAGGUCCUUGGAUACUGGCAGACUUGAGGAGAGUAGAGGAGAGUGGAAUUCCCGGUGUAGUGGUGAUAUGCGUAGAUAUCGGGAGGAACACCAGUGGCGAAGGCAGCUCUCUGGGACGGUACUGACGCUGAGACGCGAAAGCGUGGGGAGCGAACAGG